AAAUCUUCAUCCUUGAUGGAAGCUGCUUGUAGCUACAACAGAUGAGAGUUACUUCGUGCGCUCUUCCUUUCUGAGACGAGAGAUUAUCUGUGCUAUGCAUUAAUUUUUUGUCUCGAUAUAACUUCUAAGUUAUUGAUUUUGUCUUUGUAAAGAUGGAAGGUUUUGCUGAUCUCCUAACAGAUGUAUUUUCAGAGACAUCUGUUCCUCCGUUCCCGGACGAAGAUUUGGACUUUGAGAAUUUAACUUUUGAAGAAAAGUCUGAUGAAGACGGGACAGAAAACCUAACAACAAACAAUAAAGAGGCGACACUGCUCCAGGAAGCAACAGGUGAAGCGGCAGCUCUGUUUGAAACC